GAGUUUGAUCCUGGCUCAGAUUGAACGCUGGCGGCAUGCUUUACACAUGCAAGUCGAACGGCAGCACGGGGUUUACCCUGGUGGCGAGUGGCGAACGGGUGAGGAAUACAUCGGAACGUGUCUAUAAGUGGGGGAUAACGCAUCGAAAGGUGUGCUAAUACCGCAUAAUCUCUCAGGAGAAAAGCAGGGGAUCGCAAGACCUUGCGCUUUAGGAGCGGCCGAUGCCUGAUUAGCUUGUUGGUAAGGUAAAAGCUUACCAAGGCUUCGAUCAGUAGCUGGUCUGAGAGGACGACCAGCCACACUGGGACUGAGACACGGCCCAGACUCCUACGGGAGGCAGCAGUGGGGAAUUUUGGACAAUGGGGGAAACCCUGAUCCAGCCAUGCCGCGUGAGUGAAGAAGGCC
rnacentral:rRNA from 1 species